UACGGAGGGUGCAAGCGUUAUCCGGAUUUACUGGGUUUAAAGGGUGCGUAGGUGGGUCUGUAAGUCAGUGGUGAAAUCUCCGAGCUUAACUCGGAAACUGCCAUUGAUACUAUCUGUCUUGAAUACCGUGGAGGUUAGCGGAAUAUGUCAUGUAGCGGUGAAAUGCUUAGAUAUGACGUAGAACACCAAUUGCGAAGGCAGCUGGCUACACGAAUAUUGACACUGAUGCACGAAAGCGUGGGGAUCAAACAGG
rnacentral:rRNA from 1 species